rnacentral:lncRNA from 1 species
AUGGAUGCCAAAAUCAAAAACUGAGAUCUCAGAUCCACACAAUCCUUGAUAAAGAGAUCUGUCUUACAACCUAUUAGAAGAUUUACCCAGUUUUUCAGUCUGCCAAAAGCUUCAGAAAAUUGACCUAAGACAUAAUGAAAUCUACGAAAUUAAAGUUGACACUUUCCAGCAGUUGCUUAGCCUCCGAUCGCUGUGAGUAUCACCUCCCAGUGCGUUCCCCAGCACAGAGCAUUUUCUUUCUCUUUGGGGCCUUCCCCUAAUGUUUUCUUUUCAUUGUGUACUAUUGUGGUGGGACUUU